GAGUUUGAUCCUGGCUCAGAACGAACGCUGGCGGCACGCCUAACACAUGCAAGUCGAGCGCUUCACUUCGGUGAGGAGCGGCGGACGGGUUAGUAACGCGUGGGAACAUACCCUUCUCUAAGGAAUAGUCUCGGGAAACUGGGGGUAAUACCUUAUACGCCCUUCGGGGGAAAGAUUUAUCGGAGAUGGAUUGGCCCGCGUUAGAUUAGAUAGUUGGUGGGGUAAUGGCCUACCAAGUCUACGAUCUAUAGCUGGUUUUAGAGGAUGAUCAGCAACACUGGGACUGAGACACGGCCCAGACUCCUACGGGAGGCAGCAGUGGGGAAUCUUGGACAAUGGGCGCAAGCCUGAUCUAGCGAUGCCGCGUGAGUGAUGAAGGCCUUAGGGUCGUAAAGCUCUUUCGCCAGGGAUGAUAAUGACAGUACCUGGUAAAGAAGUCCCGGCUAACUCCGUGCCAGCAGCCGCGGUAAUACGGAGGGGACUAGCGUUGUUCGGAAUUACUGGGCGUAAAGCGCACGUAGGCGGAUCAGAAAGUAUAGGGUGAAAUCCCAGGGCUCAACCCUGGAACUGCCUUAUAAACUCCUGGUCUUGAGUUCGAGAGAGGUGAGUGGAAUUCCGAGUGUAGAGGUGAAAUUCGUAGAUAUUCGGAGGAACACCAGUGGCGAAGGCGGCUCACUGCCUCGAUACUGACGCUGAGGUGCGAAAGUGUGGGGAGCAAACAGGAUUAGAUACCCUGGUAGUCCACACCGUAAACGAUGAAUGCCAGACGUCGGGUAGCAUGCUAUUCGGUGUCACACCUAACGGAUUAAGCAUUCCGCCUGGGGAGUACGGUCGCAAGAUUAAAACUCAAAGGAAUUGACGG
rnacentral:rRNA from 1 species